GACGAACGCUGGCGGCGUGCUUAACACAUGCAAGUCGAACGGAAAGGCCCUGCUUUUGUGGGGUGCUCGAGUGGCGAACGGGUGUGUAACACGUGAGUAACCUGCCCUUGACUUUGGGAUAACUUCAGGAAACUGGGGCUAAUACCGGAUAGGAGCUCCUGCUGCAUGGUGGGGGUUGGAAAGUUUCGGCGGUUGGGGAUGGACUCGCGGCUUAUCAGCUUGUUGGUGGGGUAGUGGCUUACCAAGGCUUUGACGGGUAGCCGGCCUGAGAGGGUGACCGGCCACAUUGGGACUGAGAUACGGCCCAGACUCCUACGGGAGGCAGCAGUGGAGAAUAGUGCACAAUGGGCGGAAGCCUGAUGCAGCAACGCCGCGUGCGGGAUGACGGCCUUCGGGUUGUAAACCGCUUUCGCCUGUGACGAAGCGUGAGUGACGGUAAUGGGUAAAGAAGCACCGGCUAACUACGUG
rnacentral:rRNA from 1 species